rnacentral:rRNA from 1 species
CGAAAGCCUGACGGAGCAAGACCGCGUGAGGGAGGAAGGCUCUUGGGUUGUAAACCUCUUUUCUCAGGGAAGAAGCUCUGACGGUACCUGAGGAAUCAGCCUCGGCUAACUCCGUGCCAGCAGCCGCGGUAAUACGGAGGAGGCAAGCGUUAUCCGGAAUUAUUGGGCGUAAAGCGUCCGCAGGUGGCUUAGCAAGUCUGCUGUUAAGGACCGAAGCUCAACUUCGGGCAGGCGGUGGAAACUGCUAGGCUAGAGGCCGGUAGGGGUAGAGGGAAUUCCCAGUGUAGCGGUGAAAUGCGUAGAGAUUGGGAAGAACAUCGGUGGCGAAAGCGCUCUACUGGACGGCAACUGACACUCAGGGACGAAAGCUAGGGGAGCG